ACGUAGGUGGCGAGCGUUGUCCGGAAUUACUGGGUGUAAAGGGCGAGUAGGCGGAUUUGCAAGUCAGAUGUGAAAAACCACGGCUCAACCGUGGCCCUGCAUUUGAAACUGCGGAUCUUGAGUGAUGGAGAGGCAGGCGGAAUUCCUAGUGUAGCGGUGAAAUGCGUAGAUAUUAGGAGGAACACCAGUGGCGAAGGCGGCCUGCUGGACAUUAACUGACGCUGAGGCGCGAAAGCGUGGGGAGCAAACAG
rnacentral:rRNA from 1 species